AUUGAACGCUGGCGGCAGGCUUAACACAUGCAAGUCGAGCGGGGUGAUGGUGCUUGCACUAUCACUUAGCGGCGGACGGGUGAGUAAUGCUUAGGAAUCUGCCUAUUAGUGGGGGACAACACGGCGAAAGGGAGUCUAAUACCGCAUCAGUCCUCCGGGAGAAAGCAGGGGAUCACUUGUGACCUUGCGCCCAUAGAUGAGCAUAAGUCGGAUUAGCUAGUUGGUGGGGUAAAGGCCUACGACGGCGACGAUCUGUAGCGGGUCUGAGAGGAUGAUCCGCCACACUGGGACUGAGACACGGCCCAGACUCCUACGGGAGGCAGCAGUGGGGAAUAUUGGACAAUGGGGGGAACCCUGAUCCAGCCAUGCCGCGUGUGUGAAGAAGGCCUUAUGGUUGUAAGGCACUUUAAGCGAGGAGGAGGCUCUUUUGGUUAAUACCCAAGAUGAGUGGACGUUACUCGCAGAAUAAGCACCGGCUAACUCUGUGCCAGCAGCCGCCGUAA
rnacentral:rRNA from 1 species